rnacentral:rRNA from 1 species
AUUGAACGCUGGCGGUAUGCUUAACACAUGCAAGUCGAACGGUAGCAGGCCUUCGGGCGCUGACGAGUGGCGGACGGGUGAGUAAUGCAUAGGAAUCUGCCUAUUAGUGGGGGAUAACGUGGGGAAACUCACGCUAAUACCGCAUACGACCUACGGGUGAAAGGUGGGGAUCUUCGGACCUGCCGCUAAUAGAUGAGCCUAUGUUGGAUUAGCUAGUUGGUGAGGUAAGGGCUCACCAAGGCGACGAUCCAUAGCUGGUCUGAGAGGAUGAUCAGCCACACUGGGACUGAGACACGGCCCAGACUCCUACGGGAGGCAGCAGUGGGGAAUAUUGGACAAUGGGCGAAAGCCUGAUCCAGCAAUACCGCGUGUGUGAAGAAGGCCUGAGGGUUGUAAAGCACUUUCAAUAGGAAGGAAUACCUACCGGUUAAUACCCGGUAGACUGACAUUACCUAUACAAGAAGCACCGGCUAACUCCGUG